GGGGUUAUGGCUCAGUGCUAGAGCGCCCACCUAGCAAGUGUGGGGCCCUAGGUUCAAUCCUUGGCACCA
rnacentral:tRNA from 1 species